rnacentral:rRNA from 1 species
CAGGGGGAGUAACAGUCAGAAAUAGGCUGCUAAUACCGCAUAAGCGCACAGAGCUGCAUGGCUCAGUGUGAAAAACUACCGGUGGUAUAAGAUGGACCCGCGUUGGAUUAGCUGGUUGGUGGGGUAACGGCCCACCAAGGCGACGAUCCAUAGCCGGGCCUGAGAGGGUGAACGGCCACAUUGGGACUGAGACACGGCCCAGACUCCUACGGGAGGCAGCAUG